rnacentral:rRNA from 1 species
UACGAAGGGUGCAAGCGUUACUCGGAAUCACUGGGCGUAAAGCGUGCGUAGGCGGUUCGUUAAGUCUGCUGUGAAAGCCCUGGGCUCAACCUGGGAACUGCAGUGGAUACUGGCGGACUAGAGUGUGAUAGAGGAUGGUGGAAUUCCCGGUGUAGCGGUGAAAUGCGCAGAUAUCGGGAGGAACACCAAUGGCGAAGGCAGCUCGGCUGGGAC